CUACCAACAAAGCAUGCUAAAUAUGUCAGAGUCUUGGGAGUGAAAGUGAUUUUUAACAACGGUUAUAUUUAAUGCUUUAAAAGUCUCUAACAUAGACAGUAUAAAGAUGGACUUUAAAUAAGUACAGUGUAUAAUCCAACAUUUUCUUGUAACAGAGUGUAGGGUUAAUUACACAAAAAGGUGAGUACUGAUCCAACUCUGAAUAGUGUCAAUUUGUCCAGUGCGGAGGUGCAUUGUCCAUAUUUAUAUACAGGCUAUGGUCUCCAAUGAUUAAAGAAAGAUGAAAGAAUUUUUAAUUUGUGUCCUGUGUAGUGAUUCAAGGAUUCAUGCAAAGCACAUAUCUGAGGGAAAACUAAUGUUAUAACACAAGUAUAGAGCCGAAACAUAAAAAAAAGUUGGAUUUUAUCAUCUUUUAAUAGUGAUAGUUCUUACAUCAAAAGACAUUAAGGUUGUCCAAUAUGCAGACGAUGACCUCCUUUUCGUGCAAUCAAUACUUUUCAAGUAAUUUUAUAAAAUAAUCGCAUGCACUUUCUGUCUGGUUUAGAAGAAUCAUGCGUUUAUGUUUAAUACAUAACAGGAACUAGGUGGUGAUAAGUGUGGCUUAGCAAAAAGGAAAGAAAUAGGUGGAAAUAGUAAGCCUCCCUUCCUCUUUCCAAAUUAAAUAAAAGUGAAGUGCUAUGACCUCUGAAACUCACAAAUUAACAUGUGAACGUUGCCACAGGUUUCCAGGCAACUUUCUGCUACGAAGCGACCAUGUGUGUCCAGCUACACUUACGCCGAGCGUAGCUCAAGCCUUUGUCAACGCUGUCAUCACAUAUGAUGGGUUGAUGAAUGACUACGUCACUGGAGCGUUGAAAGAAGAAGCCAGCUUUGAUUUAUAGCUUGUCGGUCAUUUCAGUUGUAAUGUGUCAAGUCAACGUUGGACAAAGCCAGGCUAGCAGUUUCCACCAGUUUCAAGUCUUUAUGCUACGGUAAGCUAAUCGCCUCCUGGCUCCAGCCCUAAAAUCACUGCACAGGCAUGGGAAUUAUACCUGUCUUCUCAUCACAAUCCAUCGCAAAAAAAUCCCAUGUUUGUUCGUUCAUACAUACAUUAGCAAUCAUUCAAUUUUGAGGUAUUCCUAGAAACAAAAAAAUCACAAAACCAAAAGAGACAUUUUGGGCAUCAAACCCAUUUUAUUUCAACUUAAUGCAGUUUAAUCCAACACAGUGCACAUGCAAAGUAUCAUAUUUAAAUAUAUAUACUGUAUGUUUGUACCAAGUGUCAUGUUUUGAAAUUUAAAUAUUCCAACAUUUAGGUAAUAAAUUAAAGAAACGUUACCAAAAAACACUGCCCACAAUGAGUAUACACUUUUAAUUAAAAGCAUAAGAUACGUGAUAAAUUUGCAAUGUUCAUAGUUGUACUUUUUCAGAAAAUAUUUGUUUUUAAAAACACAAAUUCAGCGUGAGACACCAGAAAGGAAAUAAAAAAUAUCACAAUUAGACAAAUAUUUUGUUAUGUCCUACAUCUUUCACUUAAAGGUAUUAUGUGUAGGAUUGUCUCUGAACUUAACACUACUACUACUAGAAUAACAUGUGCUACAACUUACAGUCACUAUGAGCUGCUUCAUGACAGCAAAGUUAUUAUAUUUCCUUUGCCUCUGAAUAUUUAAACUGCUAAUACAGAAGUAAGUGACCAACUCGCAGACUUCACCCAAAAUUAAAGGUGGCUUUUUUAUUUUUAUUUAUUAUUCAAGAAAAGCAAGAAUCACUGAGUUUAACGACCAGACGUGACGUCUGAACCGAGUCAUAAUAUAACCGUAAUACACCGUCUUCAAAGAGAAUACUACACAUAGCACCUUUAGAAUCAUUUUCACAUUGAACUGUUGCUCAGAUUAUUGGAAACACAAUAAGAAAUCCUCAAAACAGUGCACAAAAUAAAACAAAAAAAAACAAACAAAAAAAAUCACAGUUGAAGAAGCAACUACAGCAUAGCCAUGGGGGUACGUCUAGAAAAUCCUAGUACUGAUGAAUUGAAGUCGUGUGUUGACAUUUCUGACGUCUAGCUGAGAAUUUGAUAUGUCAACGCCUUUAGAAGCAAACGGGCACCAGAUAUCUGUCGUGUGCCUGAGUGAUGGAGGUAGAAACGCUGGGCUAAUGGUAAAAAUACAGCAUAGGCGAGAAUGAAUUAGUUGACCUUUUUGCUUGCGUCAAAUAUUAGUUUUAGUGUAUAUUUAGUAGAAGUAGCAUAUGGCUUACCUGUGGCACAGUCUGCAACCUAACUUUAAGCUGUCAAAAGCGCACAUGCUUUUGUCUUGAGGGGAAUGUUAGACCUGUUGCACUGGUAGACUUUAAGGGACCGUUAAAGGACGUUUCAGGAAAUAUGCUUAUCUGAUUUCUUGCCAAGCAUUAGAAGAGACGAUUGAAAAUGCCUCUGAUGUCUGAACAGUAGACUAUGGAGCAGUUAGCAACUAGCAGAAGUUAACAAGAGUGUCCCCGCAGAAAGUGGAAGCUUAAAAAUAUGCUUUGGGGUUCGUGGCUAGAAGUUUGUAGUGCAUGUGACGCACAAGUUGUUACACCAGAGACGUAGAGAGCCGUAGUCUGUUCUGUUCUAACCAAGCAGCAACUUCAGGGCCUGAAAAGUGAAGUUCCCCCAAAUGGUCAGUUGAGCCUGGCUCCAAAAGGUAGUCAAUACCCACAGACCUCCACGUUUAAAAAUAAAAUAACUAUACAGAAAUAAAUGUUUUCACAGCCUGGUGCUUUGGACUCUAAAGCUAAUUGCUAAAACAUGGCUGCCCUCACAGGUUGCUAGCUAUCUGGGAGUCAAGCAAUGCCAAGAUGGCGCCCACUGGAGACACCCACUGAGCUUCAAUACUGGUUUUUAGGAUACCUAUGGUUAAUAUCAUCAGAAGUUCAUCCACAUUCAUAUACAGCAAGUAAAGACUAUGAUGAUUGUAUGACUCGUCUUCGGCAAUAUUUCAGCGAAAGUUUCAGUCGCCAUUGUUGAAAGUAAAGCAAGUAGUAGAAACAAGAAAGGUCCGUUACCAAACCGUUGGUUAAAAUCUGUUGUAUUUACAUUUUGUUGUUUUUGCGCUAAGUUAACAAAGGACAUUCAAAAUGUUACUUGUAGAUGCUGGUAGACAAAUGUUGUUCACUUCACAGACCACGAAUAGCUGUUUCUGCUAAUUUUAGCUUCAUUUCUACCAUUCAGACAAGAUAAUGGUCCCGUUCCUCUCAAACAUGAACGAGCACAUUUCCCAAAACGUCAAAAGAUCUCCAAGGACAACACUCUUACCACCAGUGUCACUGACUUCCUUCCAUUAAAAACAGUGCAAAGUGCAGCUCCACACUCAUAUUGUUUGAUUUGACACAGACAAACAGAGACGUGUGAAACCAAGAUUACAAAACACACAGCGAGCCACGUUUGACCAGCUUAUAAAAGUCAAUUUAAAAAAGUUGCGCUGAGUACAAAAUAAACCGCAGGUCUGAUAACAUCAACUAGUGAGUUCUGACCUGACACUAAAAAAACCAAACCUUUAAAUUUUCUUCAUUUGCUUAACCACCUAUAUAUAGAGGAGCCAGGUGAACCAGCUGAACCUGAAGUGCUGCCACGCUACCUGUGUUUUUUUUCUUUUUCGCCAAACGAAUCUUCUGCACACACCCAUGUAGUUACAACUACAUCACGCAGACUCAACUCUUUCCACUUUGCAGCUGCCGCAUGGAUGCUAUUUUUAUUUUUUUGAAUACGUCCGUCUAUCUUAGCUGCUGCUCGUCCUCUGUAAUGUCCCUCCACUCUCCCAGACAUUAGUUGAAGGGAGGAGGAGAAAAAAAGCUGUUCAUGAAAAAGAUAUCACAGCCUCACUGGCUUUGCUAACACAAAAUUUGACGCCUACACCGUAGCCUGACCUGAACCUCGCCAGGAAUGUAGUGGCAACACAAAGCGCAAGAGCUGGAAUUGGUUCGCCUGGUAGCGGCAGUGUUUCUGGUAUUUACGGCUACUUCUCCACCUCUGCAUAUUCACAUUUUUGAAUCGAUUGUUUUGGAUCAAUAAGGACGGACCACGUCGACGAAAGGUUAACCGAGGAGGGUCAAAGAUAUAAAUAUUUGUCGUCUCCGGCAAAAUUUCGGCGAAGGUUUCAGUUGCCAUUGUUAAAAGUGAAUCAAAAAUUAACCAGACUGGCAAAAAAAGACACGCUCUUAUGUCUUUUUGUAGAGAAAGAUUUUAUAGAGCGAGCCAGAUCGACAAGCGCACAAGUAUAAAUAGCUCACACUGGCGUAGGCUACAUACGUAGGUUACGUCGUCUAUGUACUUUAUAUAAUCCUUAAUCAAAAAAGAAGAAGAACUAUUUAAGCCGAAAGAGAAGUCACGUCACAGUUCUCCACAUUUGACAGGCGCACACAGUUACAGACUGGCCAUAAAUAAAUAACUAUUCUACUCUGCAAUUCUUAUGGCUAAACCUUUUUCUAACAUGGGCGACAAAAACGUUCGUCAUGAUGAGAUGAGGGUGAUUUUUUUUUUUUUUUGUUUUGUUUUCUUUUUACACAAUACUGGAUGAGAAUAAGACGAUGAAAAAACUGUGAGCACCAUUGGAAAUCUUUUCAGUGAGGUUCUCCAUUAAGCUAAACCCGACACGUCUGUGAGUCAGACCAGAGAGCAAAACAAAGAUACAAUUAAGUUAAGUAAACAAACAGAUAUCCCUUAUGUCGUAUGGAUGAAGUUGGACAAAAAAAGGAAGAUGAGGAUAAGAUGCCAAAUAACUAAAAAGCAUUUUAUUUAGUUGUCAUACUUUUUUUUUUAGAUUUGCGUCCGAACAAAAGACGCAAACAAGUCAUGCAAUGGUUUUGUAAAGACGCCUGGUAUUAAAACUGUUUAAGCUUUAAUUCGUAUAGGACACAUUAGAAAGUUUGCAUUUUAAGAUUUUCUAAUUUACGCUCAGGCUACAGGGGUUUUAAGAACAGAUUCUGAAAUCUGUUGGUAUCACACACUUGGGGCGAAACAUCACAAUUAGUCUUCUCCUUAAUCUCGGCAAACUACGGACGAGAAACAAUUUGACAACAAUUUGACUGACUGCAGUCAAAGUAUCGUACCAGAAACUUAAAAUUGUCGCUUUUUUCAAGAAAAAAUUAUCGCACAUACCCGAUAACCACAUCCCAUAUAGUACAGCUUAUAAUGCAGCUUUACCUUUUAAUGAACUAACAAGACUAUUUGUUUAUGCUAAUAGCCAUGUACUGAAGGGGUCAACUUAUCGCACUUUAUGGGAUUUUUGGAAUUACUGAUGGUACAGAUUAUCGUACAAAUACGACAAUUAUCGUACGUCUGGUAAUGCCGACUGCAGUGCAACAACUCACUGUGAAUCACUUUUAUAAUGCGAGCUAAUGUUAGCUCAGAGGGAUACUAUGUUUACUGUUGCAGAUUUGUUUUUUUAAGUGAAACCGCCAAAGUAAUCAUCCAGAUUUUGAAAUUCUAAACAUCACACGUGUCCGAGGUCAGUCGGAGGAGCCCCAGUUGACCUGUGAGCAGAUCUGUAAACCAUCUCAUGACCAGAUAAUCUGAGCUGAUCCUCAGUUUUGAGUGCGGUCCAGACUAGAAUGUUGGGAGGCUUGAAUGUCCUGCAGUCCGACAGGGAAAGCGAUUUAGUAUUUAGUGCUGCUUUAAUCCAGAGAAAAUGUGAAUAAACCUCAAUAAAAGCAUGUUUUUGUUUUUUUUUUCCCAUGGAAAUUAAUAAUAAAAUAAAGAGUGAUAUUUGACUGAAAGGAGAAGAAGGUCAGUGAGUGGCUGAAGGGGGAGAUACGUAUGGCUUUAAGGUUAUGCAUAUAUUCAUUAUGCAGUUUGUCUGGAAAUUGCUCCCCUAAUAUUCAACUCAAGUGUGCGAAACGAGACCUAAUAUUGAUGAUAUGAUAUUUAGCAGACACAAAGACAAAAAAGACAGAAAAUGACAACAAAAGACAAGCGAAAAAACAAAUGAUGGCAUUUGAUUGUCGGCUUUUUCUUCGCGCUCAUACGUGAACAAAAUGACUCCCAGUAGGUGACCUUCUAUUCUACUAUUUUGUCGAUCCCAUUUAUAUCAGUGGACACUGGCUGUUAAAAAACACUAAGCAGGUAGGAUAUAUUGUUGUAUUAGACUGCAUUAAAUUCAUAUUUUAUCGUGGAAACUUGGUUUAGGUUAUAUCAUGGGGGGGAGAACUAAGACUUUUUUUGUUUUUUGCUAAAACAUGAUUAUUUUAAAACCGUACAACACAUUUUCAAUGUAUUUUUGUAGUUACCACCUUUUUUUCCCCUCAAUUUCUCGAACCUCGAUCUCUGCAGGUGCACCAGGACAGAGCACGAAAUCUAUUGGGGUUGUUCUCUUUUUUUUUUUAAAUCUUGCACUAGUAAUCUCAAAAAUAUUUAGUUGUGUCGUCAGUUUUAAUUAAGCAUUAAUUUUCUAAAAACA